GACGAACGCUGGCGGCGUGCUUAACACAUGCAAGUCGAACGAUGAAGCCGGAGCUUGCUCUGGUGAAUUAGUGGCGAACGGGUGAGUAACACGUGAGUAACCUGCCCUUGACUCUGGGAUAACUGCUAGAAAUGGUAGCUAAUACCGGAUACGACCCUCGGAGGCAUCUCCAGGGGGUGGAAAGAAUUUCGGUCAAGGAUGGACUCGCGGCCUAUCAGCUAGUUGGUGAGGUAACGGCUCACCAAGGCGACGACGGGUAGCCGGCCUGAGAGGGUGACCGGCCACAAUGGGACUGAGACACGGCCCAGACUCCGACGGGAGGCAGCAGUGGGGAAUAUUGCACAAUGGGCGGAAGCCUGAUGCAGCAACGCCGCGUGAGGGAUGACGGCCUUCGGGUUGUAAACCUCUUUUAGUAGGGAAGAAGCGAAAGUGACGGUACCUGCAGAAAAAGCACCGGCUAACUACGUGCCAGCAGCCGCAGUAA
rnacentral:rRNA from 1 species